UUUGAGCAGCUGCUAUUGAAGUGAAUGAGAAUUGUGCUUAUAAUUGGCAAAGAUACUCAUCUACAAAAAUAUUACUGUUAUUUUAUUCAAGAGAGGCUCUGUGACUCCCAACUUUCUUUAGAAACAUGCUGAGUUAAUACGAAUACAGUGUUGACUGACAUGAGAACUAAAUGCAUAUGGAAAUGAACAAGUCUUCAGUCAGCGAUUUUUCUCAGCAUCACACGGCUUUCACGUAAGCGGUCUAGGAAAGUCUGAAAAUAACUCUCUUCUGUAUCAAGCAGAUCUAAAUGUGUUUAACUUACAAAUGAAGUUUGCCAGCGCAUCAGCAUACUAUUUCACUGGCGCUAAUGAGAGCUGAAGAGAGGCUAGAGGGGCUUUGUGGGGUCUAACAUGCCAACUGUGGAAUAUGCAAACUAAGCCCGAGUCAGGGGCGCAUCAGAUUGGCCACGCACAGCAAAUUUGCAUGCGAGCCCAAGCAGCGCUGCUCUCGGGUUGCUGCGACGUCGCCCGCCGUGCCACCGCAGUCCCCAAGAGUCAAUGUAGCUUGAUUACACUUCACACUCACCAAAUUAUAAUGCAAAUAACGUUCCAGCCAUUAACCAUGCAAACCGCUUGAAAUGUGCACGUGUCCCUACGGUGUGUGAUGUAAAUUGCUAUGUCACAUUAAAAGUGACACCGGUAAUUCUGCACAUUGUGAAGUUAUUGGGUGCCAGAUCUUAUGAGCCGUUGUGACAGCUAUGCAGAUGAGUGCAUUUUGCCGUACAGAGUCAAUUUGACACAGUCACAGGAGAGAGAUUGCUUUUUUUAAGCAUAAUGAAACCACACAAAUUAAGAAAUUACCUUUGAGCAAACCCAGCCCUCCUCCCCAUCUCACCGGAAACCCUACAAUUUCCGUAGAGUCAGAAUAGCUUCAGAAUUAGUCAGACUAAGAAUUAUUUCACAUUCAUGUUCAUUCAUUUCUCAUUUAACCAUAACCGAAUGAUUAGAAUAUGGCCAGCUGAGAGGAUUUAUUAGAGGUAAGGAGAGCCUUUCCUACCUUCACAUGUGGGAUAUGACUGCCACAAGCUUAGUUAGGCCAUUUAUUAUCAUUUUAUUUUCAGAAUUGGGUGUUUUUUGGACGCUUUACUGUGCCAGAGGUGGAUUUUGCCCUCAUUUACAUUCCGAUGCCUUUCCUACGUAGAUUUGAUUGUUUUUGUCCUGUUCUGGUUGCAAAUAUUCUAAAACUAUGAUAAUCCAUCAUAAAUAUAUUAAUUGUUAUAUUUAAAGCAAUUAAUAAACAUUAUAUAAUGAGUGAAAAAAGAGCUUAAGAUGAAAAUGUCUGAAGAAAAAAAAAGUAUUCAAGUAAUCUAAGAAUUUUUUAUUGUGUGCCAUUUCCAAUUACACGUGUUUUUUUUUAGUAUACAGAGCCACAAGUGUACAUGAAACACCCUUGCUGUGUUGUGUAUUGAAGAACACAAACAGGCUAUGAAAGUAGAUUUUUAUGCAAAACAAAAGCACAAUAACAAGUUGCGUUUUGUCUUUGAACAAAUCGAAUCAUUUUAGUCCAUAUGUCCCACUCACUCAACAUGUUAGGAUCUCUUUUUGCUGACAUAUGGCUCUCCCAGCUGAUUCAGUGACAUACAUAAUGCCUCAGACAAAGCCGUCCUCUCUCUUUGACGUUAAGAGGCAGAUGACUGUGCGACUAUAAAAAGUGUCAGGAGCGAUUUAAUUUCCCUCCAUCUGUCUGAGUGCUAGUACACUAGGUGGGUAAGCACGCUGUUCUCCCCUCUAACAUCACACCUCUCUUGCAAUCGGAGCUCAUCGCAUGCUCCUGCUUUAAACACACAUCAUUCAGAAGAGGGCUCCUGAGAGGGCUGAUUGGCUCCUAAUUAGAGAGCUUUGUUAAUGACAGGUAGUGUCAGAUGCUAAUGAGGCCCUGAUUGGAGUAUUGGGGGAGUGGAGAUGAUUGGGAUGUCUCGCAGUUAGAAGUCAAAUACUCAUCAGCAAAGACAAGGGGCUGAACAGGUUUCUAAUCCCGAAAAACUGUCUGGGUUCAUUCAGAACGGGACGGUCUCCGUCUCUCUGAUCGCACUUGAGGUUAAUGCGUGAUCACAUGCGAACCCUUGUGCUGCUCCUGACACCUUAAACGAUUGCGGAUAUCCAUUCUAUGAAAGUCGCAGAACUCUUUCGGUCAUCGAUCGCUCAGCCGAGAGGAGCGAGUGAUGAGGAUGCCAUUAUGUUUUUCAUCAACAACCCACUUAUAAAGUGUCAUCUGCUAAAAAUUCAGUUUCCAUUGUGGAUAUGAAGAGGCAUGGUGGGUGGACAAACUCUAGUGGAAACGAUCUGAUUUUACAACUUUGGCCUGCGCUUUCCCAGUGACACUGCAAUAAGAUCAUUUAUCAAGCACCGUACACCUGCUGAGUAAUUAGAGGCCCUGCUGUUAAUUACAGUUUGAUCAUGCAUUGAAAUUCAAUCAGGAGAGCUCUAAAUAAUGGACCACAACUGGUAUAUAAUGCUGGUCAUUAUCACAAAAUAAACCCUGACAGCGUGAAUGGGUCUCGUGUCUCCCUGAAGGGGUUUAUUUUGUGAUAAUGACUGGCUGAUUAUACAUUAAUGUACGAUUUAUUGUACAUUAUUCUGCUUAGUAGACAGAAACCAAUUACAUAUGGACAUGAAAUCAUGAUUGAUUGAGUUUGAAAUGACUUUAUAUGAGAAUAAAAAGCUAAGUAGGAAAUAGUCAUUAUAUUUAAGUAACACUACUGUAUGUAACACUAGCAAAAGGGCCAUCAACAGAUCGUGAUAUUGCUUUUAUAGAACAGAUCAAUAAACAGGAAUUUGAAAUCGAGUAACUUACAUUUUAAAAGCAAUAUUGGGUCUAUGUAGGCCUACUUAAUGACACACUAUUGCCAGUGUUUAAUUUUCAUCCACCGACAGUUUGAAAAGGAACCACAGUGAACCAUUCCUGAAUUAAUUCCUAAACGAAUCUUUUCUGGGCCUUGACAGUGUUAUUUACUUGGCAGUCAAUGGGACAGUCACAAACCUCCCGGUUUUUAUCCAAAAUAUCUUAAAUUGUGCUUUUACGGGUUUGGAACGACAUGGGGGUAAGUGAUUAAUCAUAAAAUUUUCAUUUCGGGGUGGAGUAUCCCUUUAAGGCCCAUCACACCAAGAACAAUAACCAUCAACAGAGUGUACACAAUAUUUCUGGUCUGCGGCUUUAAAUUCCUGAGCUCUUUAAAACUUCUGAUUGGAUGGAUGUAAAUGGUUUUUAUAGUUUAGCAGCUGGAAAAAUGACUCAGAAAAUAAUUCCAACAAUAUAUUUUCUCUGUAUCAGCUUCCUAAUUCUUAUAUAAUCGUUAUUAAUUGAUAAUUCUUUGUUGUGAAUGGGCCUUUAUAAAGUGAACAGUCUCAUUGAUGCUGGACUACUCUCUUACAGUGGGCUAUGCUCCAUGUCAGCCAAUAAAAUUCAAGGACUGGAACUAUUUAAAAUAAUAUUUAUAUAUAACUUUAGAAUGCUGCAAUCGACCAAUCAGAACCAGAGCACCGUGUAAUAAAGUCCCUGGUUAAACAAACACCAACAAGAACAUAAAAGUAGCGGUGAAACCCCCUCUGAGUUCUUUCUUGUGUAUAUAAAAGCCUUGUGUAAAGCAAAGCUAGUUACUAAAACACUUCUCCGAGAGGCUUUGGGAGCGAGCAGCCCGUACAAACACACCGGCAGACCUUAAAGGUAGGGCAGCUCUGUCUUAAAUAUACACCAGAGAACCCAGAACUCUCUAAAUGAGUUCUCUGGAGAUCGUUCCCGACACCUGCAGUCAUUUUUCAAACGAUUUAAUUGGUGUACUUAAGUCAGCUGAUACCUACGCCAGUGCUUUGUUGCUAGGCAUCGUGACAUAAAGGUCCCCAGGUACAAUUAACCCCAUUGUGACACCGCGAUGUACACAGAGUGUUUUCGGAAGGGACCAACUUGAGCAGACGUAUCUCUGAUGGGGUUUAACAUUAAUUCACGACCAUCAUCACUGGGACUUGUGCUUUAUACUAAGGUUAGGAUGCAGUGCUGCAGCUCUCCUGUCUAAGUGGUCUCCUGAUAAGAGGGAAGCUGAGAUUUCUCUCAGUAUUUCUCUCCUGGCAAACAGUGAACACAAUGAGUCAUGACACUAUCCAAGGGCUCCAGUGAAGUGUGUGGGUGGACAGCUACAGUGAUAGUGACUGUAUGAAGAGAGCUUGCUCAUCCAGGACUCAGAGAGAGAGAGAGAGAGAGAGGAGAGGAGGCAGGGUGGAAGAUGGAUUUCCACACAUUUAUAAUAGCUGUCACACCUUACAUUCAGCAAGGCAAUUUCACAUUUGAGAAUGGGACAGCGACUCAAAUUAAAAAUGACAUUAAUUUCUGCCAGCCUGCACACAUUGCGUUUUUCAUCCCGCUUGAAACACCUCUUGAUUAGGCUCUGGGAAGACACAAACGUACCGCACAACAAUAGGACUGUCUGAUUGGAUUCCGUGUACAGUACGUCUUGGGGAAAAAUGUAUGAAAGGGUGUUGUUUCUGAAAUCAUGUUUUCCCCCUGAACAUUCCUCUAUUUGUUUCUUAAGUCUUUUUUUUUUUUUAAAUCCUGCACUCUAAAACAUUUCUAAUUAGGAAUGGAAGACAAAAACAGUCCAAAUCGAGAUGUAGCUAUUGUUAUAGUUGAAACCAACUCGACAACCGGAACAUUUAGCAGUGUAAUUUCAGUGGCAGAGAUAUCUAAGCCACAGACUUUAUUAUCUAAGAUGGUCUGAGGCUAUCGACUUAAAUUCUGACCUCUUGAGCUUUAUUUGAACCAAUUGUACUAUGAAAUAUUUUUGUCUAUGGUGUUACAUAAGGAUUUCCCAUUUUUCUGGUGAUUCAAUUUUAAUGUCUCACUACUCAUUUCAAAACAUUUUAUAAAGAUCGCUAUGACAAUUUUUUUUCACUUAAUUAAAACAAUCUUUGUAUUUUAGGCUUAUAAAAUAGACAUCAAAUGGAGAGCCAACACAGUACCAGAUUAUUUAAAUGGUAACAUUCUGAUAAAACCAAACAUUUAAAAAUAUCAGUAUUAUACCAUGAACUGCACAUGCCCAACAAUAUGCAAGAUUACUUACAAAAAAUGGGCAGAAUUUCAAAACCGACAAUUUUAUAAAUGCAUAAACAACAUAGAAGUGUGAUUUAUAGUCAUUACAGUUGGAGGGUUUAUUUUCUCAAUGUCAACCGAAUGAAUUUGGUUUUGUGUGCGCAUGGCAGCCACAUAAUGUAUUCAGAAACCAUGUUUAUCCUCUUGGCAAAUGAACUUGUAUUUAUUAUUUGCAUUACCUUGCAUAGUUUUGUUCAUGGUUAUCAAGGAUGAGGGCAUGUCAAGAACCCUGUCUGUGUUGGCAUCGGUCUAAUCUAGCUGCUUCUACCAAGUAAAAGAUGAAUUGGUGCCAAAAAUACAAUAAUAGGCACAGACUUGGAAAUCAACAAUAAAAGACACUUGUUCCUUUUAAGCCUAUUUAUGUUGUUAUUCUAUCUAUGUACCCUUAUUUCAGUUGAAUUGCAUUUAUUUUAUGCCUGUGACCCUUUCAGAACAGAUAUAUGACCCACCAGAGGAAAAGCAUUACUCUAAUGAAACAUUACUACAAUUAUCUAACAUAUAUCUAUGUAUGUAGCCUUUAACAAGUCAGAAUCAAAUUUACAGAUGUAAACAAAUGUGAGAAUGAAAACAAACUUACACAAGAGCUGUUGGGCUCUGUAUUCAACUUUGUGCAUUUUAAUUGUUGUGCAUGUUCUGGCAUACAAUCUUUUGCAGGUAUAUUCAUUUCUUUUGAAUCACAAAUCAAUUGCUUGAAAAAAGUUGAAAAUAAAAACCAUGAGUGAAAUGGUUCAAAACUCUUUUAUUUUAUUUGUAUUUUUUAUUAUUUUUUUAUUUUUAUUAUUUUUUUUUAAUCUUUUCCAGACAAACACAUUGAUUUCUGGACCACAGUAGAGGAUGGAAACCUUUCACAAACAUUUUUUAUUAUUAUUAUCAUUAUUAUUUGAAAAUACAAAUAUAAAAUUAUACUUUCCACAUCUGAGAUGUGAGAGACCCCCAUCCACUUUAGUUUAUUUUACAACAGGGCUUGAGCAAGCCAUACAAGAAGACCUGAAAGAUGCUUUCAGACGUCAGUCCGUUCAGUCAGUUCUCGCGGUAAAAAGUCCGUUAACAUUAAAAAAUGGGCAAGUGUUAGGAAUGGGCAAGGCAAUCAGCGAGGCCGAGGCCUCAGGAGAAAAUGGGAGACGUGUGUCAAAAAUAAGACCCUCCACCUAAAGACACCAAUAUUGACUGUACCGUCCCCAUUGAGCUACACGUCCUCGUCAGGUUUACACGACACAUUCUGCAGCUAAACUACUACCGGGCCUCCAGGUACAUCUGCUGCAGCUCCUACACGAUACAUGAUUCAACAGCCAAUGAAACGAACAGUGUGGACUAGCUUCAGUUCACCUACGAUGAUGAGUCAUGAGGCAGUUUCAACAAUUUAACAAAGAGAUAUAUACACUAUACAUAUAUAUCUUGUAUAUGUAUACAAGUAUACUGUACAUUAGACGUUACAGUGUAGAACGUUUUGCUGCUUUAUUAGUGGGAUGAUCGUUUUGGCCAUUGCCUAGCACUUGCCGCAAAAUUCAAGUUUAAAUGGAUACGGUAGUUCACUCCCAAAAUCACUCAACACCUUCCAGGUCAUUUUCUUUUUUUCAUUUUCAUUUUUUUUUUUAAACCAACAAUUUUCCAAUGAUUUAACUAGUCUAGCAAGAUGUGUAACAUUCAUCCGCUGUAAACUGCUGUCCAUGGAAAACAAAAUGAUGGCAACAGAGCCAUGCUACCUUAAAGUCCAAGCUACAAGACCAAAUUACGGAAAAACGGGGUAGGCUAACGAAUGCGAAUGGAAAAGACUGUUUAAAAGGGUUGCCAGCCUUCAUUUUAAUCAAGAGUCACAGCAGAGGGGAAAUGUGCUUCAUCUGCUGUUAAACAUUUGCCUUCAGAUGCUUAAUCACGGACCGUCUAAAUGUGUACCAAGACCUAAAUGGAUGCUGGAUACUCAACUUGUCAAGAAAGAGACACCCAACUAAGAACAACGAGCCACCUAGUGUUGCAGUUUAAAAAGAUGUCUUCAGUAAGAAAACGCUGUGCACGGUUCAUUCCGACAGCACCUUUAAAUUUAGCUCAAAUGUAUUGAAUAAACUUGAGAUAGACACCUUUCAUUAAAAGUUGUGCUGAUCGUAACUCGCUAGUAGCAUAAAAAUCUCCCUUGCGAAGGUGGCUCAUGUUUGAUAUCCCUGAGAACUGAUGUGAUUCAGGAAUACAGAUUCAGAGUGACACUGGAUUUACACUAAAGUCAAGCUAAUUAGUGUGACAUGCUGUCUGGUAUCGAACGUAGAUGCUGAAUUAAAAUGAAAAGCUGGCAAUGCAGUUAAAAAGUACAAAAACAAUCAUAUCGUAUGUCCCAGGUGACUCCAAACUAAAGUAUGUAUUAAUCUAGGCUUAAAAAAAAGAAAAAGUAGCGCCGCAGGCCACUGGGAUAUUUUUGAAGAGUAUAAAUAUCAAAAACCUAUGACAGUUUUAUCCAUAUCUAUAAUGAUUAGCCUGUAUCAUCAUCAUUACUUUGUUAGAACUCAUUAAAAAAAUAUUUAUGAAUUUUUCAUUCGUGUAAUAAAAUCACCCUCUUCAUAAUUAUAGCUUGUGUCCAUCUUAAAAAAGAAUGAAAGUAAAACGGUUUUGCAUAUCUAGCGUUAGCAUUUAAGGUAGUAUGGCACACCCCUUUUAAAACAUUCAAGGGUGGGGAUCCAAUUAAUGCCUUGAUUACAAUUCUGUCAUACAGCAAUUUCUUUCUCCUAGAUUUCAUCAGUGAGAGCUUUGGUUAGUUGAAACCAUGUGAGACCAGCAAAACAGUGGAACAAAAAGGAGAAAAAAGAAGAAGAAAAAAAAAUUACUAUGAAAAUAACGCUCAGCAUUUUUUGUCUUUUUGUCUUUAAAUGAUUAUAAAGAGAAAGUUCUAUCCUUACUGGUCCUACGAUUGCUAAUGAAUACCUCUACAUCUUAACAUUAAGUACAUAACACCUACGACUACUCACUAAAGAGAGAGUGAGAUAUAGAGAAAGGGCAAAACGACAAAAGGAGAAUGAGAGGGGGGAAAUGUGAAAAAUACCAACCAAGAAGUGUAUAGACCACUACACUGGCAUCAAGACAGCACUCUUUUACAAGGUUAAGUCAUAUUCCUGUUUUUUUUCUUUUUCUGUUGUUUUCUUUUUUUCUUUUUUUUUUUUUUACACAC